rnacentral:rRNA from 1 species
UGAGGAAUAUUGGGCAAUGGGCGCAAGCCUGACCCAGCCAUGCCGCGUGCAGGAAGAAUGCCCUAUGGGUUGUAAACUGCUUUUAUUUAGGAAUAAACCCCUUUACGUGUAGAGGGCUGAAUGUACUAAACGAAUAAGCACCGGCUAACUCCGUG